rnacentral:sRNA from 1 species
CCUCGUCGAUCUGCUGCGGGCAGAUGAAGUGGAUGUGGCUGUCGAUGCCGCCGGCCGUGACGAUCAUGCCCUCGCAGGCGAUGACCUCGGUGCCCGGGCCGAUGACGAUGUCCACCCCCGGCUGGGUGUCGGGGUUGCCCGCCUUGCCGACGGCGGCGAUGUGGCCGUCCUUCAGGCCGAUGUCGGCCUUCACGAUGCCCCAGUGGUCGAUGAUGAGCGCGUUGGUGAGCACGGUGUCGACGGCGCCCUGCGCUCGGGAGCGCUGCGAUUGCGCCAUGCCGUCACGGA